rnacentral:tRNA from 1 species
AUUCAAGUAGUUUAAAAUUUAAAACAUUAAUUUGUGGGGUUAAUAAUAUAAAUUAGAUUUAUUUUGGAUU